CCCUUAGAUGUUCUGGGCUGCACGCGUGCUACAAUGAAGUGUCCAACAAGAUGCGAAGCCGAAAGGCUCAGCGGAUCUUUGAAGUCGUUUCGUGACCGGGACAGUUGAUUGCAAUUAUUCGACUCGAACGAGGAAUUCCUUGUAAUCGCGAUUCAUCAUAUCGCGCUGAAUACGUCCCUGCCCUUUGUACACACCGCCCGUCGCUCCUACCGAUUGAGCGAUCCGGUGAAUUAUUUGGAGUGUCCACGCAAGCCAAUCCGUUUACGUGGGUGCGAAAUUUUGUAAACCUUAUCGCUUAGAGGAAGGAAAAGUCGUAACA
rnacentral:rRNA from 1 species